CUGGCGGCGUGCCUAAUACAUGCAAGUCGAACGGCUUUUCUAUGGAAGCUUGCUUCCACUGAGAAGAUAGUGGCGAACGGGUGAGUAACACGUGGGUAACCUGCCCAUAAGAGGGGGAUAACAUCCGGAAACGGGUGCUAAUACCGCAUAGUUUUCUUGAUCGCAUGAUCGGGAAAGGAAAGACGGCCUUUGUGCUGUCGCUUAUGGAUGGACCCGCGGCGUAUUAGUUAGUUGGUGAGGUAAUGGCUCACCAAGACGAUGAUACGUAGCCGACCUGAGAGGGUGAUCGGCCACAUUGGGACUGAGACACGGCCCAAACUCCUACGGGAGGCAGCAGUAGGGAAUCUUCCGCAAUGGACGAAAGUCUGACGGAGCAACGCCGCGUGAGUGAAGAAAGGUUUUCGGAUCGUAAAACUCUGUUGUCAGAGAAGAACAAGUUGGAGAGUAACUGCUCCAGCCUUGACGGUAUCUGACCAGAAAGCCGCGGCUAACUACGUGCCAGCCGCAGC
rnacentral:rRNA from 1 species